UACGGAGGGUGCAAGCGUUAUCCGGAUUCACUGGGUUUAAAGGGUGCGUAGGCGGGCAGGUAAGUCCGUGGUGAAAUCUCUGAGCUUAACUCAGAAACUGCCAUGGAUACUAUUUGUCUUGAAUAUUGUGGAGGUAAGCGGAAUAUGUCAUGUAGCGGUGAAAUGCUUAGAUAUGACAUAGAACACCAAUUGCGAAGGCAGCUUACUACACAGUUAUUGAUGCUGAGGCACGAAAGCGUGGGGAUCAAACAGG
rnacentral:rRNA from 1 species